UCAGUGGCUUCACACCAUGUUCCUCCGUCCAGCAUUUUUACCCCAUUCAACUCGAACAGGCUCUAACAUCUUUCUGUUAGUUGGCUGUACGUAGGGGGAGACUGUCAGGAUGUGUUGCAGUUAGAAUCACUCAACUAACAUUUGUGGGCUUCUCCCAACAACAGCUCUUCACACCAUCCAGUUGCAGAAGAUACAGUGGUGCCCAAACCCGGUCAGAACCAUACCCGCACUGUUCAAGUUGUAGGGCCUGGGGACAGAGCCGAAAGGCUUUGAGGUGGUGGGAGUGGGGGGAAAAGGAGGAAGAAAGAAGAACUCUGCAAUCUUUGAAAAAAAAUGUCAAGGAAACAAGAGGAAACCACAACAGGGUCUUACAGCUGUGUGAUGUCCAGCACGGGCAACCUGUUCAAUAUGGGAGAGGCAGCACCGACUGAAAUUUCCUCCGAGUAGGUGAUGGGUGGGUUGUCGCAGGCAGCCUUCACCUUCAGCUGUGGAGAUUUCUCACUGCAGCUUGCGACCUCCUGGUUCUCAGUUUUGUCGGAACAAAUGCAGUGGUCUGUGCAGCAGAGGGCAGCGUUGGUUAUGACCCGGUCCAUUGGCUUCAGGGAGUGCAUCCAGAUGGGGAGGAAGUCCCACGACUGGAGCUUCUUGGGCAGGUAACUGGGCCUACGCGUUUGCAAUACAUUGGUGAUGCCUAUGAAGACAAGGAUGCCCACAAAGGGGGCACCCACUCCAAUAAGGACCUCCCAACCAGCCAUGGAUAGGCCAAAGAUCAGCGAGGGGAGCAGAAGGAAGCAGAUGAUCAGGUACAAGACAGCAAACCAGCGGUACUUGGCAGUUCGUUCUCCCAAGGUCUUUGCCAUGCGGAUAGGAAAACGAGUAAUCGGAAGUGGGUACCACAGUAUAAUCCCAGCAAUGUUGAAAAAGAAAUGGGAAAGGGCGAUCUGCAAAAAGGAAGAGGUAAAAUGUAAAUUGGUGUUCCUCGUUAUUUACGAGAAGACAUCUCUUAACUGGUCCAAGCAUGAUAGUGUGGAACAUCUUUUUUUGGAAUUAAGAUUGACUGUAAAUUUUGGCACUAUAAGAAACCAAUUGGAAUUUGAUCCCCUUGCUGAUGACAGGAUAGCAUUUCUGGUGUAGAAAGAUAAGACAUUCUAGAUGGGGAGUGACCAUGACCUGUUAAAUUUGGUUCUAAAAUGGACUCCAAGUUUAAUUUUGUCUCAAAGAUUUGAGGCAACUGUAUGAUUCAAUAAGCCUCAGCGGGCAGUGUGUGACAUGCUGAUUUAGAGAUUCAUGUGAGUAGACUGGGGCAAUUGAAGUGAGAGUUGCAGCGCAAAUCAUCUCAACUGCAAACAUUUUAGCUUACUCAACUCCAAGAUGUUUUACAUAACUGACUCUUUCAGAUUUAAGGGAAUUUUUAUAUACAAUAUAAAUAUAAUUUAUUUUAGAGUUUAGAUUUUGAUCUAGUGGCAUGUGGUUUAGUCUGUGUGAAUGAGUGGAUUUAAUAAUUAACUUGUCAGGCUUUCUCAAGUGGUGAUUGCGUACUAGUUUUCAAAACUAGUGUGAAGGAACCAGGAUUAUUUUUGUUCUGGUUAAGGAAAAACCCUUAAGUUGGAAAGCUUUAAGCGUCAGUUCACAAAAGACCUACUUGAAGCGAGAUCAAGAAGUUUCUUCUGAAGAAGGGAAUUAGGUCAGAAUUUUUAGGAAAUAGGUUACAGUGUAAUGGUUUUCUUUUGAAAUUGCAGACCUGAAGUACUUGGUUAGAACAGUGAAGGGGUUAUUUGAAGCUGAAAAAAUCUAAGCUUGAUUGUGUAAAACAAGAGACUAUCAAAGUGCCAAGACUGGGAAUUGAAAGAAAGUUAAGUCAAACAUAUAGAUCUAAUAAACAGGAGAACUCUCUUUGGUAUUUGAGUAGUUUAAAAUGAUGGUGUUAGGUUAGAUAGGAUCAUAUAUUUACAAUGUUUUUCUGAAUUUUAAAAACUAUAUUGUACGUAAAUCGGAGACAACAAGGUGCAGGGCUGGAUGAACACAACAGGCCAAGCAGCAUCAUAGGAGCAGAGAGCUGAUUUGAGAAGAUCGUUCAAGCAUUGACUGAAAGUGUCACCUGAGAAAUGAGAGUGCAGUAUCAUCCCUCAGAACCACAGUGGAGAGUUAGUCCAGAUCAUGUUGCUGAAACAUCUGCAGUGGAGCCUGACCCCAGAACCUUCAGACUUUGAGAUCUUGACGUAUACGAAAGAAAGAACUGCGGAUGCUGGAAAUCAGAAAAAAAAAAUAGAAAUUGAUGGGAAAACUCAGCAAGUCUGGCAGUAUCUGUGGAGAGAAAGCAGAGUCAACUUUUCAGGUCCAGUGACCUUUCUUCAGAAGUGACCUCCUGUUCUGAAGACAAAUAAACACAAAUUUCCCCCAAGCCUAUUGCAUUGAGCCAGCAUUUCCUAUUCCAGAAAUCAGAUCAUGGUACCUGGCUUUGAAAGGGUGCAAAGAAACCUAAAGAUUCACAUGUGCAGGCAAGUCAUGGAGGAAAGAGAAGAGUUGACCUCACGAGUCCACGAAUUGUGGGUCAAAAAUUGGCAGAUAGCGAGAAGGCAGCGUCGAUGGCACUAAUAAAAGAACUGGGGUCCGUACCUGUAUAAUGUGGUCGGUGAAUGGAUCGGUAAUGAUACCAAGCAGGUUUGGAGCAUCCUUCCCUGUCUGGAUCUUGAAGCUGCCCACCACAACCUUGGGUCAUUGAAAUCACCAUUCAUGAUCCAGAUGUGCUGUGAUUUUUAUCCAUGGUUUUCACAAAUGGUAGUGAUUUAAGAAGAAAGGGCCCUCAUUGACUAUGAGAACCUGCAAGAGUACCGUUGAUGAUGGCACAUGGCAGCCGGGGAGAAUCAGGGGCACCUCCACUUGGAAGGGAGAGAGGUCCACAGUGCACUCUCCUGGAACUGGCUGGACUGGCUCCGAGAUGUGAUGCCAUCAUGCUCCGAAGCUGCACAGUAAAGGAGGACUUGUUAUUGUCUUAGAAACUUCCUGAUGUCUACCUGGAAAAGGAACAACUGCAACAUUUGCCAGUGCACAAUCUGCAAGGGAACAACUUAUAGAAUCAUAGAGUCAAAAGUUAUACAGCACAGAAACAGACCCUUCAGUCCAAAUUGUCUGCACCAACCAGACAUCCCAAUCUUGCUUAGUCCCAUUUGCUGCCAUUUGGCCCAUAUCCCUCUAAACCCUUCCUAUUCAUAUCCCCAUCCAGAUGCUUUUUAAAUGUUAUAAUUGUACCAGGCUCCACUACCUUCUCUGGCAACUCGUUCCAUACAUGCGUCACCCUCUUGUGUGAAAAUGUUGUCCUCAGGUCCCUUUUAAUUCUUUCCCCUCUCACCUUAAACCUAUGCCCUCUAGUUUUGGACUCCCCUAACCUGGGAAAAAGACCUUGGCUACUUAUCCUAUCCAUGCCUGUCAUGAUUUUACAAACUUCUAUAAAGUCAACCCUCUGCCUCCGAUGCUCUGGGGGAGAAAGGUCCCGAUCUCUUCAGCCUCCAAUCUUGGCAACAUCCUUGUAAAUCCUUUCCGAACCCUUUCAAGUUUAACAACAUCCUUUCCCACGUGUUGCUGGCAUCUACUUCAUAAUAAUUCUCAGCAAGAAUAAAUUGUGCUUCCUUCUUAAGGUAUGUAACAUAUACUAUAUUUUUGGUAUGGAAUGUAUAUGAUGCACAUUUUAAUAGUGUGUAUUGUCACUAUUAUACAGGAUAUCUAUAAUUUUUGGGUCACCUGUGGUUGACCUGGUAACACUCUCAUCUUCACAUUAUAGGGUGGGCUGCUGGGGAUUGUCAAGACUAGUUUAGUUUGGGAACUUGAUCAGCAUGGACGAGUUGGACCAAAAGGUCUGUUUCCAUGCUGUUUGACUCUAAGACCCAUUCCAGAAAUUUGAUUACAAAAUCUCGCUGCUCACUCCAAUGCAACACCAAUACUGCAUUGCCUUUCAGAUGAGAAAGUGAGGCCCUGACUGGCCCUUCAGGUGGGUGUAAAAGAUCCCAUUUUUACUACUUCAAACAAGAGCAGAGGCCUUCUUCCUGAUUAUAGAAUCCCUGCAGUGUGAAAACAGGCCAUUUGGCCCAUCAGGUGCCUUCCAAGCCUCUGAAUAGCAUCCUACCCACAUCCAACCCCCAACCCUUUCUCUGUAACCCUGUAAUUCCCAUGGCUAAUCCACCUAACCUGAACAUCCCUGGAUACUAUGAGCAAUCUAACAUGGCUAAUCCAUCUAACCUGCACAUUUUUGGGCUGUGGGAGGAAACCAGAGCCCCCAGACACGGGGAGAAUGUACAAACUCUACACAGCCAGUCGCCCAAGAGUGGAAUCAAACCCAGGUCCCUGGCACUGUGAGGCAGCAGCGCUAACCACUGAGCCACCAUGCCACCUGAUGGCCUGACCACUAUUUAUUCUUCAACAAAAGUUACGAAAACAGAUUAGUAUCUCAUUACUUCAUGUGAGAUUUUGCCAUUCGCAAAUUGGUCACUGCAUUCGUCUGCAUUAUAACAGCCAGUACAUUACUAAAGUUACCUGUAUAGAGCUCUGAGACUCCAAGGUUGUGUAUGGUGCUAUAUAUAUGAAUUUUCUUUCUUUUUCUAGCUUUGUGAUUGUGGAACAAUUUUCUUGCACCUCAGCACAUCUACACAUCAAAAUUUAUUAGCUAUGCAACAUUUGAAAAUAUGAGAAACUGUUCCUUUAAAAUGGAUACAUUGUUAUGUCCAACCCAAGAAAGCCAACAUUUAAAAUCGAUGUAGACAGUCAAAUAUUCACUGAUAAAAUAAGAUGCCCUCACAAAACUCAGGGAUACUGUUCCAAAUUCCAAGCCUGGGAUCACUUACAGAUCCGGAGAGAACAGUGCUAGCUUGUAUUGACUUCCCCUCCUAAUACAAAGCAACUGCUUCUUAGGGUCAAAUAAGUCACAGAAAAAGCACUCUGCUAUAAUUCCAACACGCAUUGGGCCAGAAAAGCAACUGACCCUCUCUCUUCAGGAUUUAUUCCAAAGUCAGAGAUCUUUUAAAGGGAUCCCUUUCAAGUCUUAAUUGAUACAACUUCCACCCAGACCUCCACAAAAGCAGAGAGAGAAAUUUCCCAAGAACUUUUUCUGACAAUAUCCCUUGAUGGGACCAAAGAGAAGGUAGACGGGAUUUCCAAACUGCCUUCUGCAAGCUCCCAAAGACAACAAUAUGAUAAUGAUCAGCUAAUUUAUUACCACCAAUGGACCAGAGCAGUGGUGAAGCAAACCCCUACCAUAUUUUCAGGGAAUGCUGAUGGAGAUGUUUGAUGCCAUCUCCUCCUUUAGACUGCCACGGAAUGGCCAAACAUUCACUGGGAGCAAUUCAUUUGAUGGAUGAACCAAAGAGACCAUUUCGCUUGGUCCUGUCUGUACUGAUAGUUGUUCUCUCCAAGGCAACUCUAACGCUGUCUGCAGGCAUUUUGCAUGGCUUCCAACACAGUGUUAGACAUGUACAAAACAGUACAAGUUGAGCAUUGGUUAGUAUAAAUUACAGCCAUCAUGUCAGAAUAUCAUCCAAAUUUACCCACACUGUAGAGAGGUUAGAAAAUCAACAUUUUGGAUCAUCCAGACUUAUUCAUUUUCUUAUUUGUUUGGAGAUCUGGUCAGGACUGUGAUUGAGUCACUCUCAGAGCUCGUGAUUAAUGUGAUGGUUGGAACUGAUGAUGGCCUUGAUACAUGUGAUCAUGCACUUACAAUUCCAGAAGUCAAGAAUAAAGAAUCGCUUUCAGAAUGCAUCUAACACACGUAUGAGAUACCUCUCUAUUGCAAAAAUAUAUGACCAUGCCUUACCCGAUCUUGAUCUUGGAACUGGUCUCCUCACAGAUUCUCACAUUUACACACUUGACCCAGUUUGGGAAGAAAGUAUUUCAACACUUGUCUUUUAUACAUAGACUAAGAGAGCAAAGUCUGCAGUGCCAAACUCAUAGAGCGUGUACCUGCAAUAACUAACCAAUGAUGAGGAGGCUGAACAUCGUUAAUUUAUAAUCAACUUUUGGUGCAUAAAGUGCUGACACUGGGAGAGCUGGAUCUGUGUAUUCCAUCAAAUCACAAUUCAAACAAUUUGCCAAAUUCAAUAAAAUCCCUUUGAUGAG